AGCGAACGCUGGCGGCAGGCCUAACACAUGCAAGUCGAGCGCCCAGCAAUGGGAGCGGCAGACGGGAGAGUAACACGUGGGAACGUGCCUUUUGGUUCGGAAUAACUCAGGGAAACUUGAGCUAAUACCGGAUAAGCCCUUACGGGGAAAGAUUUAUUGCCAAAAGAGCGGCCCGCGUCCGAUUAGCUAGUUGGUGAGGUAAUGGCUCACCAAGGCGACGAUCGGUAGCUGGUCNGAGAGGAUGACCAGCCUCAUUGGGACUGAGACACGGCCCAAACUCCUACGGGAGGCAGCAGUGGGGAAUAUUGGACAAUGGGCGCAAGCCUGAUCCAGCCAUGCCGCGUGAGUGAUGAAGGCCUUA
rnacentral:rRNA from 1 species